CGUGGCAUCUGAGGACGGUAGCUGGAAUGGAGUGCUCUGCAGGAUUUUGUGAAUGAAAUCCAGUCUAACUUAUUAAAGGAGGAGAGUCAUAUCUUGACUGUCGCAGCAGGUUUUUCAUCCCUGUUAGGCAACAACUACACCCAUUUUGGUACCAAAUGUGCAACAUGAAGAAGGCAAUUCUUUACAAUACCUUUGACAACCUUGAUACCUUAGAUUCCAGGUCUAAAUUUCUCAGAUCCAGAUCUUGAUAGUUUAGAUCCAGAUUCUGUCAGGUCUUCGGGAUGUACCUGGUGUGAAACGGUGGCCACAGAAUCAUUGUGUGACAGAUAGGAUGCUGUUGAUGUUGUGUUGCCUGUGUCAAUAAAAGAUUUCCAAUACCA